AUUGAACGCUGGCGGCAGGCCUAACACAUGCGAGUCGAGCGGAUGAAGGGAGCUUGCUCCUGGAUUCAGCGGCGGACGGGUGAGUAAUGCCUAGGAAUCUGCCUGGUAGUGGGGGAUAACGUCCGGAAACGGGCGCUAAUACCGCAUACGUCCUGAGGGAGAAAGUGGGGGAUCUUCGGACCUCACGCUAUCAGAUGAGCCUAGGUCGGAUUAGCUAGUUGGUGGGGUAAAGGCCUACCAAGGCGACGAUCCGUAACUGGUCUGAGAGGAUGAUCAGUCACACUGGAACUGAGACACGGUCCAGACUCCUACGGGAGGCAGCAGUGGGGAAUAUUGGACAAUGGGCGAAAGCCUGAUCCAGCCAUGCCGCGUGUGUGAAGAAGGUCUUCGGAUUGUAAAGCACUUUAAGUUGGGAGGAAGGGCAGUAAGUUAAUACCUUGCUGUUUUGACGUUACCAACAGAAUAAGCACCGGCUAACUUCGU
rnacentral:rRNA from 1 species